UCCCCUAUGUGUGAUGCAUGGUGUCUGC
rnacentral:piRNA from 1 species